CAGUCGCCACGGGAAUACGGAGGGUGCAAGCGUUAAUCGGAAUUACUGGGCGUAAAGAGUGCGUAGGUGGUUAGAUAAGUUAUGUGUGAAAUCCCUGGGCUUAACCUGGGCAGGUCAUAUAAUACUGUUUGACUCGAGUAUGGGAGAGGGUAGUGGAAUUUCCGGUGUAGCGGUGAAAUGCGUAGAGAUCGGAAGGAACACCAGUGGCGAAGGCGACUCUCUGGUCUGUAACUGACGCUGAGGAGCGAAAGCGUGGGGAGCGAACAGGAUUAGAUACCCCGGUAGUCCCUGUCUCUUAUAC
rnacentral:rRNA from 1 species